AUGACAGAAAAAGAGAAGGGAAUAAUCCAAAAGCCAUCUGCUCUGGGUCUUGGAAUGGGAAUUCUUAUGGUUUGGUGCAUUUUUGCAGCUAUUUCUCAAUAGUCCCCUUUAUAAUCAGAGCAGGCUGGGUAGAAUCUGGUACAGGAGAUUGUGGCAAACUAGAUAAUUAACCCAGAGAACAUUAUUUCUGUCUGGGUAUGCCAUUAAGUUACAAGGACCUUUUGUAAAUGUGGGUAAUAAUGAAAAGAGGGCUAUAGUGUUGGAAAGGAAGACAGGAGAUAAGGAGGAAUGAAAAGGAGUAGGUAUUAUUUCUACAGAGUCUUGAAAGAUUAAGAAAAAUGAGGCAGCCAGAUGCAGUGGCUCACACCUGUAAUCCUAACACUUCGGGAGAUCAAGGUGGGAGGAUUGCUGGAGCCCAGGAGUUUGAGACCAGCCUGAAUGAUCGAGUAAGACUCCCCUCUCUACAAACAAAAUUUAAAAAACUAGCCAGGCAUGGUGGUGUGCACCUAUGCUCAGGAGGCUGAGGUGGGAGGAUCACUUGAGCCCAGGAGGUUGAGGCUGCAGUAAGCCGUGAUCACACCACUGCACUUCAGCCUGGGUGACAGAGCAAGUCCCUGCCUCAGAAAAAAAAAGAAACAAACAAACAAAAGAAAAGAAAAGAAAAGAAAAAAUGAAGCAAAAGAUACCAGCAGCAUUGGCUGAGCCCUAGAGGUAAUGGGAAGGGUUGAUGGGGCAAGAUCAGAGACUUCUGUGAUGUUUCCAUUUGAUGAGACAAAACUCAGCAUUAGCAGAAUUAAAGCUACCUAAUCUCUAGAUUAGGAAAGGGAACAGAGAAAUACCUCAUGGCAACACAUGGCCUUUUUGAGUUGCAAGUUGACAGAAACUCAAGUCAAACUAGCUUCACUGAGAAAUUCACUCUAGGUGAGAUCUGUCAUCAGGUUGGAGGGGAUACAGGCUGUUAGGCAGUUUGAUCGGCUUUCCUUCUCCUCUCUCAGCUCGGCUCUCCUGUGAUUUCCUUCUCAGGCAGGCUCUCCCCCAGGGUGAUGAGAUGACCACCAGCAGCUCCCGGUUUCCACCCUACCAGGUUUGCAACCCCAGCAAAAAGAGAACCCCUCUUUCCCUAUCCACCUAACAGAAGUCCUGCCACUGAUGCUCUUUGAACCACCUUAAAGGCAGGUUUCUGAAUCAAUCACAACAGCCAGGAGAAUGGCAUUCUCCCAUCUGCCAAACCCAGUCUCUCGAGUCACCCAAAACACAUGGGCUGAGAAUGGAGGAGAGGUCCCACCUCUCCCCCCAAAAAGUGAGAUACUGGUCUAAGAAACAGAAAAACGCAGCUUACAUAGGUUAAAUGAACCCAGAAGCACUAUGUGGAGUUUUUCCUUCCAGAACAUGAACCAAGUUCUCAAGUUACCCCCAGAUGGUAUCAGAAGGAAGGAUUCAACAGUGCCCUUAAAAAAGGGCCAUGGUUCUCAACCAGGGGUGAUUCCUCCUCCUCCCCUCAGGGGACAUUUGGCAAUGACAAUGGGGCAGGGGGUUGUGCUACUGGCAUCUAGUGGGCAGAGCCUAGGGAUGCUGCUAAACACCUUACAGUGCACAGGACAACCCUCACCCAAAGGAUUAUCCAGCCCAAAAUGUCCACAGUGCUGAGACUGUGAAACCCAGAAUUAGGAUGACCUUGUAAGUUAUCGCCCAAACCAGAAUGCUUUCGAGACAGGCAAAACCAGGAAAGCAGUCGUAACAGGGACUGUUGCAGCAAAUGAGGACAUAUGGUUAUCCUACUCUCAACACACCGUCCACACAGAAGGCAAAGCCAUUCUCACUGAAGGCUGUGAUUCAGGGGAAACGUUUCAAUGCUCCCCACCCCAAUCAUCAAUUACAGGACCACAAAGAUGCUCUUCCCAGCCGAGGCUUGUCUUUGACCCCUUCUGCUCUCUCCCACUUCCGGCACGGCUGACAGUGCCUGCCACCUACUUCUAAGAGGUCACUAAAAAUCGACCAGGGCUUGCCAGCCUAGUGGGGUUGCCCAAAUGUAUGCCCACAGAUGCCGCUUCGAAAAGCUGUCUCUGGCAUGGCCCCUACUGCAGCGGGGCGUGACAGACUGCCUUGCUCGGUGGAAAGAAUCCCACCCCAGUUAAAUUGCUGGAGCCCUGCUGGGAAGGAGGUGGAGGCGGGAGGAGAAGGAGAGUAGGGAGCCAGGCAAGCCUCUCCUGCCUCUCCUUUUUCAUCUCGGAAGAGCCAAUUUCAAGCUUGCCUUGGGUCAUAAAAUAAUUUGAUUCUCUCAACCUUGCUCAGAAUGGACACAUGUCUUCGGCUGGAGCAUCUGCUGCUGCUGGAUCCAGAGCGAGGAGACCAUCCCCUCGAAAUGAUUCCAUUUCUGUUGCAAGACAGGGCCAAAAUCAUUUGCCUGGAGCUGGAGAAGCAGCUGCCUGGAAUACCCUGGGCUGUCAUUUUUGCUGGAUCCCCAUAUUAUAUAAGCUUCAGUCCCCACAAAAACUGG
rnacentral:lncRNA from 1 species